UACGUAGGGUGCAAACGUUGUUCGGAAUCACUGGGCAUAAAGAGCGCGUAGGCGGUCUGACAAGUCCCCUGUGAAAGCCCCCGGCUUAACCGGGGAACUGCAUGAGAUACUGUUGGGCUAGAGUGCAGGAGGGGAGAGCGGAAUUCCUGGUGGAGCGGUGAAAUGCGUAGAUAUCAGGAGGAACGCCGGCGGCGAAAGCGACUCUCUGGCCUGUAACUGACGCUGAGGCGCGAAAGCUAGGGGAGCAAACGGG
rnacentral:rRNA from 1 species